AGUGAACGCUGGCGGUAGGCCUAACACAUGCAAGUCGAACGGCAGCACAGGAGAGCUUGCUCUCUGGGUGGCGAGUGGCGGACGGGUGAGGAAUACAUCGGAAUCUACUCUGUCGUGGGGGAGAACGUAGGGAAACUUACGCUAAUACCGCAUACGACCUACGGGUGAAAGCAGGGGACCUUCGGGCCUUGCGCGAUUGAAUGAGCCGAUGUCGGAUUAGAUAGUUGGCGGGGUAAAGGCCCACCAAGGCGACGAUCCGUAGCUGGUCUGAGAGGAUGAUCAGCCACACUGGAACUGAGACACGGUCCAGACUCCUACGGGAGGCAGCAGUGGGGAAUAUUGGACAAUGGGCGCAAGCCUGAUCCAGCCAUACCGCGUGGGUGAAGAAGGCCUUCGGGUUGUAAAGCCCUUUUGUUGGGAAAGAAAUCCAGCUGGCUAAUACCCGGUUGGGAUGACGGUACCCAAAGAAUAAGCACCGGCUAACUUCGUGCCAGCAGCCGCAGUAA
rnacentral:rRNA from 1 species